CCUACGGGAGGCAGCAGUAGGGAAUCUUCCACAAUGGGCGAAAGCCUGAUGGAGCAACGCCGCGUGAGUGAUGAAGGCCUUCGGGUUGUAAAACUCUGUCAUUCGGGACGAACCGGAGUCUGAGGAAAUGCAGACUCUCUGACGGUACCGGAGGAGGAAGCCCCGGCUAACUACGUGCCAGCAGCCGCGGUAAUACGUAGGGGGCAAGCGUUGUCCGGAUUCACUGGGCGUAAAGCGCGCGCAGGCGGUGAUGUAAGUCUGAGGUGAAAACCCGAAGCUCAACUUCGGGACUGCCUUGGAUACUGCGUCACUUGAGGAUAGGAGAGGCAAGGGGAAUUCCACGUGUAGCGGUGAAAUGCGUAGAGAUGUGGAGGAACACCUGUGGCGAAGGCGCCUUGCUGGCCUAUUUCUGACGCUGAGGCGCGAAAGCGUGGGGAGCAAGCAGGAUUAGAUACCCUGGUAGUCCACGCUGUAAACGAUGAGUGCUAGGUGUAGGUGGGCUCAUACCCAUCUGUGCCGAAGCUAACGCAUUAAGCACUUCCGCCGUGGGGAGUUACGGUCGCGAGCUGAACCCAANGAUUGACGG
rnacentral:rRNA from 1 species